CCUACGGGAGGCAGCAGUCGAGAAUCAUUCACAAUGGGGGAAACCCUGAUGGGGCGACGCCGCGUGGGGGAAUGAAGGUCUGCGGAUUGUAAACCCCUGUCAUGUGGGAGCAAAUUAAAAAGAUAGUACCACAAGAGGAAGAGACGGCUAACUCUGUGCCAGCAGCCGCGGUAAUACAGAGGGCUCAAGCGGUGUUCGGAAUCACUGGGCGUAAAGCGUGCGUAGGCGGUUUCGUAAGUCGUGUGUGAAAGGCGCGGGCUCAACCCGCGGACGGCACCUGAUACUGCGAGACUAGAGUGAUGGAGGGGGAACCGGAAUUCUCGGUGUAGCAGUGAAAUGCGUAGAUAUCGAGAGGAACACUCGUGGCGAAGGCGGGUUCCUGGACAUUAACUGACGCUGAGGCACGAAGGCCAGGGGAGCGAAAGGGAUUAGAUACCCCGGUAGUC
rnacentral:rRNA from 1 species